UACGUAGGGUGCGAGCGUUGUCCGGAAUUAUUGGGCGUAAAGAGCUCGUAGGCGGUGUGUCGCGUCGGUCGUGAAAACUUGGGGCUUAACCCUGAGCUUGCGGUCGAUACGGGCAUCACUGGAGUUCGGCAGGGGAGACUGGAAUUCCUGGUGUAGCGGUGAAAUGCGUAGAUAUCUGGAGGAACACCGGUGGCGAAGGCGGCAUCCUGGACCAACACUGACGCUGAGGAGCGAAAGCCAGGGGAGCAAACGGG
rnacentral:rRNA from 1 species